rnacentral:misc_RNA from 1 species
UUCUUCUUUAAAUACCUCUCUCCCUCUUCUUUCUUUAUAGUCACUUGCCCUAGACAAAACGAACAGACAAACAAAGAACUUAAAAGGAUGUCGUGCUCCGUUGCGGUCUCCAAUUCUCCCGUAUUCUCUCCUUCAUCGUCUCUCUUCUGCAACAACAAAACUCCAGUGUUAAUUUCUCCGUCACCGUCUGAAACUCUAACUCUAACACUAACCCAUUUAAAAGCUUCGCAGGCUCCAUCGUCAUCAUCUUCUUCUUCUCCAUCAUCUCCUUGCUCUCCUUUACGGCUUCGGCUUCAGAAACCACCCUCUGCCCUCCCUUCUUCUACUUUGGCUUCCACUUCGGCUUUGUCUUUGGGAUCAUCGGCGUCGGGGACGGUGUUGAAGAGGAAGAGGCCG